rnacentral:lncRNA from 10 species
CAGGCAGUAGGAAAAAACAAGUGUUUUAGCCAUAUUUGCAAACUAGGUAGAGUUGUUAGAAUUAGAAUUUACCACCUAAGUGUAAACCCACCCUGAUUUACGCAGUCAGAUUCAGACUUUACUUCUCAACUACUUUGCUUAUGAGUCACUCCUGUAAGAGAAAUGAGAAAUAAUAGAAUUAACAUACAAAUUUGCUUGUGUUUUAUAUAUGUAUAUAUAUGUAUGUAUAUGUAUGUAUAUUUAUUUAUGCCUGCUAUAUGGAAACUAUAUACAUAAGCUAGGUUAAUAAUUGUUUUUUUCCUACUCACAGAUUCAAAAGGAAAUAAUUAUCACUCAUGGUACAGACGAGCAAACUGAGACUAAUUUUAGUUCUUCUCAUACUGACAGAUGCUUGAUAGAGAAGAUACUUGUUGCCUGAAAUAUAAGACGUCACUAUCAUAAUUUCUAUAAGGAAAUAUAAAAUAUUGUUUUUGAGCUGGAGUCUAUAAUGAAACAUUGCCAUUGAAAAUUGACCCAGGUCUGUAAAGUAAGAUAGACAGUUUGACAUUUCAUAGAUAUUGUUUUCGGAUAUAAAAAAUAACAAAUAAAAAAAGAAGUGUUAACUAGACAGAAUUAGGCCCACUACACAGAUUUUAUGAUAUUACAUUAACUGUUCUGACUAGUAUGUAGACUGUGAUAGUUUGUUCUAUAUGACAGCCAAACAUCCUGAUGGAAACAGUAAAUUCAGUAAUAUUCAAUAAUAUACCUUAUAGAAGUAGGUUUUAAAAAGUUAUCAGAAUGAUUCAUUUCAGGAGAGACUCUCUCAACUGGUCCAUAUGAAUUAGGAUGUGUUUAAACUCUCUUAAGUCUGUCUUCGAAUCAGGAACGUUUCAGAAACAAAAAUUAAUGAAGAUGGAAAGGUGUAGAAAAUUAAGGCUCAUAAUGCUACUACAAAGACACAUGCACAUGUAUGUUUAUUGCUGCACUGUUCACAAUAGCGAAGACUUGGAACCAACCCAAAUGUCCAUCAAUGACUGGAUUAAGAAAAUGUGGCACAUAAACACCAUGGAAGAUUAUGCAGCCAUAAAAAAAGUUGAGUUCAUAUCCUUUGGAGCGACAUGGAUGAAGCUGGAAACCAUCAUUCUGAGCAAACUAUCACAAGGACAGAAAACCAAACACCGCAUGUUCUCACUCAUAGGUGGGAACUGAACAAUGAGAACACAGGGACACAGGAAGGGGAACAUCACACACUGGGGCCUGUCGUGGGGUGGGGGAAUGGGGGAGGGAUAGCAUUAGGAGGAAUACCUAAUGUAAAUGACGAGUUAAUGGGUGCAGCAAACCAACAUGGCACAUGUAUACAUAUGUAACAAACCUGCAUGUUGUGCACAUGUACCCUAGAACUUAAAGUAUAAUAAAAAAAAAAAAGAAAAUUAAGGCUAUUUGUAAUAGGUCAAAAAUAAUUAAGAAAGUACCAAUCUUUAGGAAAGGUAAAUAUUGAUGUCACAGUUUGCCCAUAGGAACAUAUCACAAUCUCUGGUGACUUGGAGUGUGAGGAUAUUGGUUCACAAGGUUAAAUAAGAAUGGAAAAAAGAGGGAGAAAUUUCAAAACACAUCUAACCAGAUUUCCAGACAUGUUAAGGAGAAAUUGGAGGGAGGAAGAAUUUAAAACAAUGCCGGGUAAGAAUUAUCCUGACAAUGAAAUCUAGCCAUUCUUGGGUUUAGGAAGUCAUUAAAUACUGAGUUGAAAAGAAAUGAAGGCUCUAUACAAGUACAAAUCACUGAGCUGCAGAACAGUAAUGAAGGAAAAAAAAAUCUUAAAAGCAGCCAGAGGAAAAAAAUACAGAUAAUUUAAAAAUUAAUGGCAAGCAGAACAAAGAGCUGACUUUUUAACAGCAAUAGUGAAAGGAAGCAGUUGACUUUAUCUUCAAGGUAUGGUGAAGAAACAACAGACCAUCAGAAUGCUAUGCCCAGUGUUAAGAAUUAAAUUGUCUCCCAAAAAGUACUUAUAGGUGGGCAUGGCUUGACAGUGUGGACAAUCAAUUAGGAAAGGGUAGGUUUAUGUAAAAUAGGUGAGGGGUGGAGGUCAAUCAGAGGAAAACGCGCCAAAUGGGAAGACAAGUUCUCAAUUGUUGCUUGGCUUUCAGGCUUUAAACUGUCUUUGGCUUGGAGGGGUUUCCCCGGGAGCCCACCCCUCUCUACCUAGGCAUUUAGCUGCCUUCUGCCACUCUCAGUACCACAAACUGAGUUGCCUAAAACAACAAAAUUUAUUUCUUUCACAAUUUUGAUAUCUAAAAGUUUGAAAUCAAGGUGUCAGCAGGACCACGCUCCUUCUAAAACCUGCAGUAGAGAAUCCUUUCCUGCUUCUUUUGAGUUUCUGGUGUUUUAUUGGCGAUUCUUUGCAUACCUUGCCGUGUAGCUACCACACUUCAACCUCUACCUCCAUUGUCACAUGAUAUUAUCUCUUGUGUCUCUUUGUCUCUUUUCCUCUUUUUACAAAGGCACCAGUCAUAUUGGAUUAAUGGCUCAUCCUACUUCACUAUGACUUUAUCUUAACUUAAAUAGUUACAUCUGUAAGGACCCAAUUUCCAAAUAAAGUCACAAUCUGAGAUACUGUGUGUUAGGACUUCAACAUAUGCCCGGCAUUUGGUUUUUUAAACAUAAUCUUUUAUUAUUACUGAAAUCAUAAAUAUUUAUUGUAUAAAUUAAUGACAUUUACACUGGCAAAAAGAAAAUAAGAUAAAAUGUCACAUUGUCACUAUCCAUAAAUUAUUGUUGUUAAUAUUUUAGAUUAUAUUUCUGUACCAUUUAUAUGCAAACUACACAGAUACAAAACAAACAUGUGCCAUUAUUUUUACUGACUUUUAAAAAUAAAUGUAUUAGUUAACCUUUUAAUAAACUAUUUUGUAAUAGUUGAUUUACAAAAAAAGCUGAAAUGAUAUCUUUUUAUAAUCUUGAUUUUUCAAUAAUUGAUCUCCAUUAUUUCAUUUCAGAAACUUACCAAUACAUAGAUGAUAUUAACGUUUUCUGAAAUCUCUAUACAAACAGAAUAUAUGUCAUACCUCUGAUUGUUGUUCUCUUAAAUCACAUUUAAUCUAAUAAAACCCAGUUUUUCAUGAGGUUUGGCUAAUUUUCUCACAGAAUGUUCCAACUUCUGGAUUUCUCUGCUUGCUUGUUUUGCUUUCUUUUGGUAGGUUAUGAUUGAUUCACUUUUUAUUGACAUUUCAUAGUAAGUCAUAAAUAAAAUG